rnacentral:rRNA from 1 species
CUACGAGAGGCACCAGUGGGGAAUAUUGCACAAUGGAGGAGACUCUGAUGCAGCAACGCCGCGUGGAGGAUGACACUUUUCGGAGCGUAAACUCCUUUUAUAUAGGAAGAAGAUGACGGUACUAUAUGAAUAAGCGCCGGCUAACUCCGUGCCAGCAGCCGCGGUAAUACGGAGGGCGCAAGCGUUACUCGGAAUCACUGGGCGUAAAGAGCGUGUAGGCGGAUUAAAAAGUCAGAAGUGAAAUCCUAUAGCUUAACUAUAGAACUGCUUCUGAAACUCUUAAUCUAGAAUAUGGGAGAGGUAGAUGGAAUUCCUGGUGUAGGGGUAAAAUCCGUAGAGAUCAGAAGGAAUACCGAUUGCGAAGGCGAUCUACUAGAACAUUAUUGACGCUGAGACGCGAAAGCGUGGGGAGCAAACAGGAUUAGAUACCCCGGUAGUC